GGACGGUAAUCCGACACGACCGGAGAGAGAUCAGGGGGUCUACCCUAAUUCACCGAAAAACGAAGUUUCGUACGAAAUUUCGCGAACUUCUUACCACGGUUCCAUUUCGUUCCGAAAUUUCGUACGAACGAAGAUUGUUUGACGUUUAUUGUCUAUAAACCUACUCUAAUUCGAAAUGCUACGAACGAAUAUUUGAGUUUGACAGACGAAACUUCGGAAUUUUAACCUCAAAUUCAACGAAACCAAAAGAGUUAUCGUUUGAUUUUCGUGUUACUUUUCGUUUUGUGAAUUUUGUGUGAAAAUUAUUGGCAAAGGCUACAAUAAUGCUUUUAAUCAAAGCAGCUUUACGUGAAGAUCAUGUAGAGCGAAGAAGGAACCGGCAGUGCUUGCGCAAUCAAUUAAAUAUUAGCGAAAUUCCCGACGUAGAGUUUGUAGGAAAUCACAGACUCAGUCGGCAAUUUUUCGAAGGGUUGUGCCAGGAAUUCGUGCCUUUAUUACCUCCAAACAAUGCACAUUGCAAUUGCUAGACCUUCUGGAAUCGAAAAUAUUUCCCUUCUCUUAACACCCAAGUUGUAAGUAUAAGAACUAAACAUUAAUGAUUUAAUUGAGGCAUUGACUGUUGUUUAUUAUGAUGCUGAUCAAUCCUUUAUUAUUUUCCAGAUAUUAUGUGACAGCGAUACUAUAUAACAAAUGUGGAUGUGUCAUUUGGUGGAGCAACACACAUGAUGCUUAUAUUUGGAGAGUGUGAUAUUAGAAGCCACUUGGAGGGUCUCCAGAAUGAAACAGUUUAUCUGUUAGGUGACUCUGGGUAUUCUCUCUAAGGGAGCAUAUGAUGACACCGAUAGAUAAAGCUGUUGAAGAUUCUCUUGAAGGCAGAUACAACUUUGCAGAGCUUUGUUAGUGCAAAUUUUGGAAAGGAAUAGGUAGGACAAAGUUCUACUCAAGCACAUCAUAACAUGCUCCAGAAAAUAUGUAUGUUUAUUGAUUUUAAGUAUUUGACAUGAUGUUAUUUAUUUCCUGUAGAGUUUAAUAAAAGAAUAAAUUAUA